CCUCUACACAUCCUUCUCUUCUCAUUUCUUUGAGAAAAUAGAUUUCUCCACUUCUGAUACUCAAUUCUUUCUAAAAGCUCAUCCAUCUUAGGCCCCCAUGACCAGUGACCACCCUUUCUCUGAGCACUGAUUAUCUUUCAAUGAGCAGCAUCGUUCUCAGUGCUUGCUCCUCUGAAUCCUCUAGAUCAUAAUAAUUUUUUAUAUCUUUGAGGUCUUGGUCUUGCAACUCUGAUGACUUAUCCUUCUCUCUUUCAGUUAGUUCAUCCCUAAAUUUCAACUUACCCUUUUCUCUUGUGAAAUUAAGCUGUUUUCAACUUACCCUAAAUUUCAACUUACUUUUGCAGUAGCUGUUUUGCACCAAUAGGCUCUUGUGUCUUUACUUUUCCCCUUUUUAUAAGCUUUUGAUGCUGAUUUCUCUGUUGAUUCAGUGUGACGGACUAAAGCAGAUUUGAUGAUUUUUGCGUUUUAUCUAGAACCUCUUUUACUGGCCGUCAUGGCUUUGUUUAGUUCUUCUUCAGCCUUUCUCUUGCGUACUCUGGUGUUUGGUUUCUCGUAACCUACUGAGGGACCCUUGCGUUCCAUCCCUUCAUCAUCAGGUCUUAGAACUGGCUCACCUGAUGCCUUUCUAAGUUUGGAUCUGACCUUUUUUCCUACAAAUUUUUGAUGAGCACAUCACUUUCAUUAUCUAUUACAUACUCUUUCUUGUUUGAGUUUUGGUGAGGCGUCCAUUUUUCUUGUUUACUAGGUUCAUCAACCUGUUCCAUGGACAUCAGUAGUAGCAGUGUACAUUUGUUCCAUGAUGUUGACAGAAGGUUCAUGGUUUCUUUCUUCUUCAGUUACUCUUGCUUCUCCUUCACCCAAACUUUCUAGUGCUUCAGCGACAAUCUUUUCUACUAAUUUGCAGUUUCAAAUAAUUCAUCUUUCUCAUCAGUUUCUUUUCCAGCAUCAGCACAACUUACUCUAUCUUCAGCACCUUUGAUUAAGCAGCCAUAUCAGUUUCAUCAGUAGAUCAUUGCAAGUGUUCCCCCUUAUUGUGUGCUUCCUCAAUUUCCUCUUUUGGUGUAUAUACUUUCAAUUCACUUAUAGAGGUCACUACAUGGGCUUCCCCUAUUUCUUUAUGAUCUAAAUUUUUGAAGUAACCACUGGGUUUAUUUGUUCAAGAGGUUCUGUGUGAUAGGUUCCUUGUAAUUCUGACAUCUAGCACACUAAACUUUUACAUUCUUCUUCGCUUAUUUCAAAUAGGCCACCAGGAGUCUCUAGAACAUCAAUGUGAUCAGAGAAGGAUGCCAUGGAAGGGUCAAAUUGAGAGUUAUCUGAGGGGAUUGGUUCAUCUGUGCGACAUGCCUUUGCUUUGGUUGUCUUAGGGAUUUGGCUUCUGGCAUGGGAGUUCUAAGUUUCAGUUGUGGGUGUCCCUAAAGUGGAUGACUCAUAAAUGUUAGGGUUUACCAUGGUGUCUGUGCUAGGAGUACUAUGAUGUAGUGGGUUGGUGGAGGUAGAUGUCUUUCAUUCCAUAGAAAAGGAGGAUGAUUCUACGAUUUUUUUUUUCAAUUGUCCGAGAGAAUGGGGAUGUUUGAAGGAAGGCUCGGUCAGGAGGAGGUCUUUGAAAUUCAAAUAAUUUGGAAGAGAACCAAUUUAUGUGGUCUGGAUGAGUUGCCCUAUGUACUUUGGUAUAUUAAGCUGGAACAGAAAAACAAUUUCAUAUGGUCUACAUAUUUGUUUAAAACAUAAGGAUGGUGCGCAUUCUAGCCCUUGAGGGAUUCUUCAUGAUUAUAUUUCAUAUCCUUGCUUCUAUUCCCCUUGUCAUUUUGCCUCCACGUUUUAUUAGGCUAAAUAGACUCCCUUUGGAUUAAUUUUCUUCCUUUAUCCUGAGAGCGAGCAGAGUUUUAAUGGUAAUUCUUCUCAUGUCCCGACCCAAUUUUUAUCCCAAAUAAACACAAUUAUUUUUCAUUUCUACGAAGAAUGAAGAGAGAGAAAGGGCAAAGCCCUAACCUCUCUCCACCGUCAUAAUCGCUGGAAAUGGCAAAAAAGCCAGACGAUUUUGCCUCUUAGUCCGUAUGUAUGCUCGUUUUGGGCAAGAUCAAUUAAUGCUCUUUCCCUCUCUCAUCCUUUCUCCACCACAGUCAACCUUUGAAGAGCUGUGAGGUGUGGAGGAGAUAGAAGGCUCUCAAGCUCCAUUCUCGACAAGGCUACCACUACAAAAGGUCAAAGCCACAAUUGCUAUCUCGUUUGGGCAAAGGCCCAACACUUUUCUUCAUCGAGUCCGAGCCCAGAACUUGAAGGCCUAACCAUGGGUGAAAAUGGUUAACUGGUGGGUUCGGUAGGCCCACCAGCCUUUCGUAUCUUUUAUUUCUUUCAUGUAUGUUGAUGUUAGCGGAUGCUUGGGAAAAUAUUUGAACCUGUAUGGUUAUAACUUAGUUGAAAUAGGCCAAACAAAGCCUAUAUCAUUUAGAAUGGAUAGGAGCUCGAAUCGUUUUCAAUCGUAGACCCAACAAAAGAUAAAUGAUAAUAUUCUCUCAAAUAAUGUGAUAAAAAAAUAACUUUUCAUCUCUUCUUACAAAAGCUGAAACUGGAACGGUAUAAGAUAUUAUUUUUGAGAAAGGUCAACUUUUUCCUAAACUUGAAAUUUUAGAGAUCUGGGAAUACAAUGGAUAUUUUUGGAAAAAAAAUGCAACUCUUUUAAACUCAAGAAUUUUCAAAAAAAAAAAAAAAAGAUAACAGAAAAUCUGGUUUCAAAAGAACAAAUGUUAUUGAGAUGGACCUCAAAUGAUUUCAAGUUAGCUAAAAUAUUUUCCAAACCCUUUUGGUACAAGCUCACUUUAAAUCGAAAUUCUACUUGUAUCCAAGUUAAAGGAAAAGGUUUGAAAUGGAGUAUGGUUGACCUUCACCUAAUACAAAAAUUUGAAAAGCAUUUGAUAAACUUUUAUAACUUGUAUAAUUCUCAAGGUACUUUUUACAAAAGGAGAUACAUUUGGACCAAAAAUUAAGUGGAACUCUACUCAAGAGAAAUCUUGGGUGUGUUUUGGUCCGGAAAUGAAAUGACCAUUUCAAAAACCUUAUAUGCGUUUUGCAAAAGGAACUUAUCUUCUUCUUUCAAAUAAAGCAAUUUUUGCCAAAAUGUUUCAAAUGAUAUGCCAUGACAUAAUAUACAAGAUUUUAAACUACUUUAAGCAAAUAAUUACAAAUCACAAAUUGAUUUUUUUUAAUCAAAACUACCAAGCAGAUUGCCUGAUAGUGCUUUAUUAAAAAACAAGUUCUGUACAAAAGCUAAAAUGCAGAAAAUAAAGGGAUAUAAUACAUGAAUCCAAACUAAAGGAAAUCUAAAAGCUUGUCUAUUGAAAAUCCUUUUGUCUUGACUUGAUACCAUGUUUACACCUCAAGCUCUCACCAGGUGCUAUGAAUCCACAGUCCAUUGAAUUAAAAUUCGGGCUUCAAGGAUAGAAUAGAAUUCUUUCAGAAAGUUCCUCAUGUUCAGCUAUUUCUAUGAUUGUUCUAGACCUAUGUAGUGUUGACUUUUUCCUUCAAGAAUGAUUGUAUAAAAAGAUCCUUUGGACAUGUGACAACAGAAUGAGCAUGUAAUCACACUAAUACCAUUUUUGUAACCUGUCCAAAAGUCCAUCUAUUCAAUCUGCUAGAAAUGAUCUAGGCAUGAUUACUGCAGUUUUUACAUCCUGCAGAAUCCUUAUUACAUGUGUUAAUCUCCGGGAAUCUGAUGAUCUUUGGCUUGCCUGAUUCUGAUGUAUGGCAUCUGUGCUUUUUUCAAUAUUCAAAAUCUGUCUUGCUUUCCUUGGAAGUGAUUGGUAACUAUUGAAAUGAUGUUCACCUGCAAAAUAAAAAACAAAGUUAGUCAAAAAAUCUGCCAAUCCAUUUCCUUCCGUCAGUACAUGCUCCACUCUCACUUCCUUAUCCCUCCUCAACCUUGUAAUAUCCUUUAUGAUAAAAAAUAUACUCCAUGGAACUUCCCAUUGUCCUAUCAAGAUCAUUUUAAGAGUCAUUAAAUCAGUCUCCAAGAUUAUAGGCAAUAGAUCAUUUGUCACACAGUAUUUGAUCCCCUUCUGUAAAGCCAUUGCUUCAGCAACUAAGUUUGAUCCAUAUGAUAUUCUUCUAGCUGCAACAUGCAUCAUGUCGCCCUCAAUGUCCCUAAUACAAAAUGCCACUGAGCUUGGCACUGGAUUGCCUCUAGAGCACCAUCUGAGUUACACUUAAACCACCCUGGCAUAGGAAAAUUCCAUCUCACUAUCUUGGUCACUAUAUAUGGUCUGUAUGUUUCAAUCAUCUGCAUAAUCCGUGGAAGAGACUUUGGUACUUGCAUUCUUGGAGAAAAAAAGGUACCAUACUGAGUAAAUAACCUUUGUUUUGUGUUUUGAUUGAACUGUUAGAUCUGUAUCGUAAUUUCGGAACUAUAGUAACAAGAAUCGUCUCAUUUCGUCUUCGUAUGACUGAGAUAUGGCCUUUUUUCUAAAUUUUGUGGUAGAUUUUCUGGUGAAAAUGACGAUUUUGCCCCUAUGUUCGCCCUUAAAUUUCUACAUUCCUUCAAAACUUGAAACAUCAUAUCUCUCUCAUUUUAAGGCCAAAUUGGGUGAUUAAAAAGGCUAUCUUGGGUGAAAAGUGAGCUUGGGGAUCAUUUAGCACCUGAUUUGGGGUUGGAGCUGUUACGUUUUUUCGUUAUUUGUUUCGGGACUUCUUUUCACAAGUUUGGGAGCUCCGUUUGAGGUGAUUUUCACGGUGUUGUUCUCGUGUAAUUGAGGGGGUAAGUAUAUUGUUAUAUCUCGGGUUUUCGCACAUUUGGAAAAUUAGAAAUAAUCUUGACUUGUAAGAAAUAAAGUCAUAAUUGAUUCCAUCUAACGCAUGAGUUGUUUUUGAAAGAAUAUUAAUGUGAAAGGGUCGAGGGAGGCUAAGGGCAAAACGUGGAAUUUUGGAAAUUAGUUUCGGGAAUUACAAAAAUAAAAUUUGUAGCCAAUUGGGCUUGUAAAAUAAGAAGCAAAUGAGGCCCAAAUCAAGGGGGGGGGGGGGGGGGGGGGGGUGGCCGGCCAACAUGGCCUUGGCCCAAACCCAUUUAAGUAGUCAUGUGCUUGGUCAUGUGACAAACAAGACAAAAGGGGAUAAGUCUUCAUCUGUUCAAGAAAAUUCAAGAAACAAAUCAAACAAGCAAAGAGAGAGCAAAAAGUAGAGGGUUCGGCCAUGUCCAUGAUUUUUCACCCCUCAAAAAUCUUGUUCUAAAAAUUGUUGUCUUGUGAUUUUCCUACUAAACUAAGUGCCCUCUUAAACUUGGUGUAGUUGUCUUGGAGGAAGAAGCACUUGGAUCCUCAAUUUGAUCACCUAUUCAAGUGAAGAAGACUAGGGAAAAAGAUUUUCGACGAAACGGAGAGUGAGCUUGGAUAGGCUUAAAAAGCUCAAAAGGUAUGUAAAGCUACCCCGAUCCUUCUUUUGGCAUGCCUAAGUGUAUUAGGAUCGAAUUCGGGCCUCGAAAGACUUUCUGCCCCUUGGAAUCCGCAAGUGAAAAUAUCACUUUUUCUUUCAGUAAGAUUGAACUCUUUUGGUAUGUUUUCUUGGAAAUUAUGCAAACCUUCUCUAAACUCCUUGGAAAGCUACAGAAUGUCCGUAGAACCUUUAUAGGUGAUCCAAUAAGCUUAAAGGGCGUAAUUUGGACCCAUCGUCUUGCUUGUCCCGAGGUGGGCCCACUAUUCCCGGUUUUGCCCUUAAUGUACUUAAGUCUUCUUUUCGAAUAGUUCUUAAAAGAAACGUUUUGACUACCAUUCUAAUUACCUAACAAACGUUGUUUUAAAUAUUCCAUUAAGUCUGAUAAAUUGUUUUGAUACUCGAAACUCAUUUACUAUGAUUCCUUCCGACUUCAUUGGAUCGGUUUGUCUUUGAUAUGCCUCAUCGAGUCGAUGGAAACAUUCAUGAUAUUUUAAUUGCAUUAGUCUCUCACUACUCCAUUCGUGGAUGCCCCAAUGUUUCCCACACUGAGCCCGGGCCAGGAUAUGUUGUCAAGCGUGAUCCUUUGCAUUGUUCGCCGUGCCUCGAUGUGAGGGGGCAGGUAUACGCGUACAUGGGUUUGUGGAGUAUGCUGUGCCAUGUACGCUUGUUCUGAUAUGAUUUACUAUGGCCAUCUGAUAUGACAUAUUAUGUUAUGGGGUUAUGCCCCUAUUCUGAUUCUUCUGUGUUGUGGCACCAGCGUCGGGAGGGUGGCCACGUUCUGUCUGCCGAGUCCCUUGGCAGGGGCCGGAUUGGAUAUGACAUAUGUUUCUGUACACACUCCGCAUGUUUUGAAAAUAUAUAUCUGAUACUUUGUAUUUUCUGUUUACUUUCUGUACGUUCUAUACCAGUUAUGAUUUUGUUUCUGCAACUCAGGCUUUAC